rnacentral:lncRNA from 1 species
CACCAGACCAGAUGACUUGACCUCAGAACAAAAGAUGUCACUGAGAAACCUGGUAAGAGCUGAUAGGGUUUGGAAGGGCGGUCAGAAGCCCCAAAAUUUAGUGUAAAUGAUGGAGCAAAUGAACAGACAUUCAGCCAACCUACACAGAUACCCACAUGCCAGAGAGCCUGAUGAGGACCUGGACUGAUACCCCAACUCUUCUCAUCAUUUGCCUGAUCCUCUGCAUCUUCC